GACUGUUCUAAUCCUUAGGCCAGAAUGGUUCCACCUGCUAGUUUAUUAAAGGGAAACAUUUGCCCUUGUGAAUGUCGUUAACAUGAGGGCUGUAACAAACAUGUCCUAGCUGCUGGUUUCCCUGGUAAUGGGUAAGCUGGCCUGAAAUCAAUUCCCCUUUUAAGUGGUAGUCUCCUUCUCUCCAACUGCCCCACCCACAGUAGGGAAGACUGUUGCUUUAUCCUAUCUGCCUUUUCCUUUAUACAGUGGGGUGUUGUUACAGAACCUUUUGCUUCAGACCUAUAAGAUCUCCCAUCCAGUAAACCACUGAUGUCUCUGUCACUGCCUCCCAUGUCUUUCUUUGGUCUCGAAGUUGGGCAGUCACAAAGCUUGCAUGCCUGCGGGGUGUAGCCCAGCACCAGUAUAUUUGAUAAAACAGGAAAACAAUGUUAAUAUAGUUGAGUGAUUUUGUUCCCCAUCAUUUUCAUUUCCACUAAUUCCUUUCUGUUCUCUGUCCCUCCAAAUGAGAAAUUUGGAAGAAAAACAAUCUGCUAGGGACUGUUUCCUCUCAUCUACUUCCCAAAUUCCAAAGUUAAUUAAAAUUUUUAAAAGAUACUAAGGAAAAGCUCAGAAGAGGAAGAGAGAAUGGAGAGAAAAAGAAGUUAAACCUUGGUAGGACUAUGACUAACAGCACAAAACCCUCUCUGUUGAGUUCUAAGUCAAGAGGGAUUGAAGUCACUCAGUCGUGUCCGACUCUCUGUGACUCCAUGGACUGUAGCCUACAAGGCUACUCUGUCCAUUGGAUUUUCCAGGCAAGUGUACUGGAAUGGGUUGCCAUUUCCUUCUCCAGGGGAUCUUCCCGACCCAGGGAUCGAAUCCAGUUCUCCUGCAUUGCAGAAAACCGAUACUCUUUCUGGAUCUGACACAAGAAGGAUCAGAAGAAACACGUGAAGAACAGGACUGAGACCACCCCAGAGUCUGCUGUAGAAGAGAACAGCAUUCUCAUAAAGAGAUUUCAUUUGGUUAGAUAAUUUAAUGAUUUUUAGGAAAACUGGCUUGUGCCUUGUGGACUGCUUUGUCAUUUAUUGUCCUGGAACUAGCUUAACUUCAAAAACGUGUUAAAUCAGUGUACCUGCUACCAACAGUUCCCACAGAACAUCUAUGGCUGAUCUGUCUUCACCUAUAACUUAUUUUUAUUGUGUCUUACUGUGUCUUACACUAUAACUUAAAAAAAUGUAUUUACCAUUGACUAAUCAUACCAAAGUCUGAUCCUGGGACUUAUUAGAUGCCCUAAUCACUCCAUUCUGUAUUUCCAUGGCUUAAACCUCACAAAAAUGGUUAUAUUAUGGAAUUUCAAUAAGCUAAAUUCAUGCCACACUUGUGUUCCAGAGAAAGCAACAGGUGUAAGAACUCUCAGACUGCAUAUGCUAUCAGUAAGAUGCAAGUGUCAGAGUCAUAAAGGCCUGACAACACAUAGACCUUGGAGUGUGAACUGUAAUUUGAUGACAUAUUACUGCCAUCCUCUACCUGUUCAUUUUCUAGCUGAUGCUCUGACUUAACAAUACCUGUUAUAUCCUGGUCCAAGUUUGCAUCACUGGGAACUCACUACCAAGGAAACCCAACCUUGUUGAAACCCUCAGUUCUUCACCAUUAAUGGCAGAUUCAGAUUGCCUGUGGGGUUGCAGCUGAUAUGUAACCUCUGCCUCACUCUAGCAUAUUGUUAGUCCAUAGCCCUGAGUGCAGAAAUAAUUGACAACCUGCUCCAUCUCCUUCCGUAUAAGCCUGCAGGGCAUAGUCAUCCACAUUAAACAGCUGCUAGGUGACUGCUUCAAAUAUUGCAGUUUUCUACUGAAUCCUGCUCAAGGGCAAGAACUUUCUGGAGGAAGAAAAGGAAAUCUGUAUAUCAAUGUUCAAGUUUCUGGUUGCAUCACCGAUUGGAACUACAGAAAGAUGGGAUAUUCUAAAGUCAAGAGCAAAGUUGUCUAAAUCCACUGGACAUAGAGACAGUGGGGCUAUGCACAUCUCAAUAUAUAAUGUUGAGCAGUCUUUCAUCCAUGUAUUAUAGACAUAUGGUGUUUCUUUUGAAUAAAUUCAUGUAUAAGGAGAACCAGAUGAUAGACAAAAAUUAACCUUUCCACUUUUAAUAAUUUAAAUAUUUUCCCUUUUCAAGUUUUCUCAAUAUUGUAGAAAUAUUUUGCCAGGGAUAUAGCAUUAUUUUAUUUAUUUUUGGUCCCUAUUCUGUUAAUCUAUUAGUCCAUAACAAGCCAUGCUAAUACUUGGCUCUUAAGAAAGAUUCAUCAAGGAAGAUAAACUUCCCAGAAGCCUCUGGUGCAGCAGUACCCAAACUUUUUCGCACCAGGAACUGGUUUCUUGGAAGACAAUUUUUCUACAGUUGGGGAUAGAGUAGAUGUUUCAGGAUGAUUCGAGCACUUUACAUUUCUUGUGCCCUUUAUUUCUAUUAUUAUUACAUCAGCUCCACCUCAGAUCAUCAGGCAUUAGAUCCCAGGGGCUGGGGACCCCUGUGAAUAUCCACUUACAUUUUAUAGGCCAAAGGCUAGUACAGACACUCACCCAAAACCAGGGCCAGACUCCAUUUUUACUCAAUUCAAGAGGCCUCUAUUUGAUACAAUAUCUUAAAUGAGAGAAAAAUGAGAGACUAACUUUUGUAGGCAAUAAAUAAUAUCUAUACGAUGAAUUUUCCACGUAUUUGUAUUAGAGAAUGACACUUUUUAAUCAUAGUUUACAAUGAAGAUAGUAGUCUUCUAUAU
ensembl:lncRNA